AGUUACAAGUGAUGAUUUCAGGACAUUGAAGCCACCAUAAUGGGUGCAUGAAGCCAUGGACGAAAUAUACAAGAUGCCACUUCAUAAAUUUCGUCCCGAGGCUAUUAUAGGUGCUGCGUCAUCUUUUUAUUGGGCCAGGCCCAUGUAAUUUCGAAAUACAUAAGUAUAGGCUAUUUUUAGAGUCCGUAUGUGUGGGGAAACAAGAGAUAGGGUUGAUUUCGGACCCUUCCACCAAGGGCCACGAAAUUCCACCUCUCUUCCUCCAUAUAUACAUCCCUUAGGGCACCGUUUAGACUUUGGGUUUUGUUUAGAUUAAAAGUUCGCCAUAGCUGCAACUUCGCGUACUUCGUUUGUGUUCAACGACCAGACAAAGGCGUCACAGAACCCCACCUUGAUCAAUAAAGCUUUCAUCUUAUAUUCGCAAUAUCCAGAUUGCAAUCUUAGUUUCUUGCUUGUUCUUCGUUUGCUCGUAGGAAACAGACCCUCGUGGUCAGGUUGAUCGUGCUCCGGCGUGGUCAAUAACCUCUCGGAGUUGGUUUAGCGAUUGCUAAGGCGCAACGUUCUCGCACGUUCGUAGUCGGAUCGUCAAAGUCGACUUCCACUAAAGCGAAAUCCACCAUCUCAUCGAAAGACGGGACACCUUAGCCUCUAUCAAGAGGUAUCAGAUUUCCAGGUUGCUCGGUGAGAUUUUAUAGUUUUUCGUAGUUUAGAUCGAGUCUGUUCUUCAUACCCAUAGUCCACGAAAAAGCCAAAAAAAAUUUAGGGUUAGUUCAUCCCAUCCGAACCAAUCUGAGCCUUGCAUAAUCUUUUCUGUAUUUGCUUUGUUGAAUUUGCGGUUGCAUCGUCGUGUCCAGUUGCUGGUCUUAGCGUCUAGUCUUUUAGAGUUUCGAGUUCUGUUCACAGGUUGUCACGUCGCCGCUGGCAUAUAUCACCACCGCAUCAUCAUCGUCGCUGUUGCCAUAUACCACCACCACAUAUUCACCGCCAAUCCGAAUCCAUAUACGCCACCACAUAUCCGCCGCCAUCACACCAAUCCGAGUUCACCUGCAACAUAUAUCCGCCACCUGUCCGUGUUCCACCAGAUUUAUCUCCGCCACCAGUCCGAGUUCCACCAGAUUCAUCUCCGCCACCAGUCCUAGUCCGAGUCCAGUAAUUAUUGCAUUGUUCUCGAUUUCCAGAUCACGCGAUACUCCGAGUCGUGACAGAGAAGGACUCCCCAACUUCCGAGCCAUCCGCAGAAGAAAAAUAGUUCCAAUUUCAAAAAAAAAAACUAAGUCUGGAAAAUUCUGGCUAGGCAGUUUUUAGACCAUUUGUAGACUUUUUCGAAAAAAAGUUUGUUGCGGAGCAAAAAAAAAGAGAAAAAAAAGUGCAAAAAGAAAGAGAAAAAAAAUUCAGAGUGUGCUCCUCCCUUGUUUAUGUGCCGCGCCGUGAUUUUGUUGGUGUUCUAGGCUCGCGUCUCUAGCACAGUCUAGCCUAGGACCAGCACAGUACCGUCGUUGAGCGUUUAUUCAACUUUGCAUCUCUGAAUUGAUUAUUGCUGACCCUUUUUGCUACCAUAUUAUAAGCCUUCCCAGCUCCACAUACAUCUACGUCGUGCGUUUGACUCUCCCUGGUAAUCGCUCUAUCCAAGCUUUGAGAGUUUUGACUACAACGGUUGCCGAUCACCGCCUGUUGCUGGGUAAGAACUGGUAAGAAUUUGAGUUUUGCUUGACGGAUUUGUGACACCCACCACCACCACUUGUUCGUAGUCUGUAGGGUCAUAUUCUUGUGUGUUUCUAUUGCUGCUAACUAUGCCAGGAUCACAAGCCGACGAGAUUGACUGGGAGAAUUUAUCGAACAAGGAGCUUCAUGAUAAGUUUCAGCAAAUGAUGACUGAACAGGUGCAAGAUGUGCUGAACAAUUUUGAAGAGGCCAUGGAGAAGAUCACUGGCCUUGAGAAGACGUUCGAAACAAAUCUCGAUAACAAGUUUAAUGAAUUGCUCGCGCGUCUUCCACCACCACCACCCGCUGCACCUAACGCACCUCUCCACCAACAACAACAACAACGAUUACCUCCACGUCGCGAAACAGACCUCCGCCGAGCAAGCCGUGUUCCUCUUGCGUUUGGCCAAACUGUUGGUGCUGCUGUUGAUACUUCUAUGGCUCCUGCUGCUGAUGCGGAGGAGGAUGAUUAUGUGGGAGAUUAUGAGGAUGAGGUUGAUCAAAAUCAGCACUACGUGCAGCCACCUAUACCACCACUAGCAGGUCGACCUUAGGUAUAUAUUUGUAAUGGUAGGCCUGCACCACCACCUCAGGUACGAGAUGAUGUCCAUAUUCCUAAACUGAAAUUGAAUAUUCCAUCAUUUGAGGGUAGAUAUGUUCCUGAUAUAUAUCUUACUUGGGAGUUAGAAACUGAACAACGAUUUACAUGUUUACAAUAUCCUGAGGAGAGACGAGUUGCUGCUGCUGUUUGUGCUUUCACUAGUUUUGCAUGUGUAUGGUGGUCUGAACAUUGUAGAUUAUAUCCUAUUCCAACUACUUGGGCUGCUUUAAAAACUGCUAUGCAUACGCGUUGGGUUCCACCAUAUUAUCAACGUGAAUUGCUUCAAAAAUUGCAGCGUUUAAGACAAGGGAAAAAUUAUGUAGAAGAAUAUUAUCAGGAAUUACAAACUGGCAUGAUUAGAUGUGGUAUUGUUGAGGAGAAUGAAGCUAUGUUUGCACGUUUUCUGGGUGGAUUAAAUAGAGAGAUUCAGACCAUUCUAGACUAUAAGGAGUAUACUAAUAUCACUCGUUUAUUCCAUCUUGCUUGUAAAGCUGAACGUGAAGUGCAGGAUCGACAAGCAUUGGGGCGAACUAACUUUUCUGCAGGCCGACCUUCAUCAUGGACACCACGUGCAUCUUCUACUUCAACUGCACCAGCACCUCCAUUCGGUGCCACCUCCAGCCGUGAUACAAGAAAACAGGCACAACCGCCAUUAUCUGCCAAGAGCGCACCUGCGGGGCCUGCACAACGUUCUUCUUCUUCCAUGGCAUCAACAGGGCACAUAAGUGAUAUUAUUUGUCGUCGUUGUAAGGGAGGAGGUCAUUAUGCGAGAGAAUGCAAAUCUCCGCGUGUGAUGAUUGCUACCGCGGAUGGUGGAUAUGAGUCUGCUAGUGACUAUGAUGAGGAGACUUUGGCUCUUAUUACACGUGAAGAACAUGGUGGAGAUGAUUUUGAUCAUGAGACGCAAUACAUGGCUCCUGAAGACGCUGACAGGUAUGAAUGUUUAGUUGUUCAACGUGUUUUGAGUGUGCAGAUCACACAAGCUGAGCAAAAUCAGAGGCACAAUUUGUUCCAUACCAAGGGAGUUGUGAAGGAACGUUCUGUGCGCGUCAUCAUAGACGGAGGGAGCUGCAACAAUUUGGCUAGCAUGGAGAUGGUGGAGAAGCUAUCUCUCACCACAAGACCACAUCCACAUCCUUACUACAUCCAAUGGUUCAACAACAGCGGCAAGGUUAAGGUAACACGUACUGUUCGUGUGCAUUUUAGUAUAUCUACAUAUGUUGAUUAUGUUGAUUGUGAUGUGGUACCUAUGCAAGCAUGUUCCUUAUUACUUGGUCGACCAUGGCAAUUUAAUAAAAAUUCUGUACACCAUGGUAGAAACAAUUAGUAUACUCUUGUUCAUAAGGAUAAAAAUAUUACUUUGCUUCCUAUGACUCCUGAUUCCAUUUUGAAAGAUGAUAUUAAUAGAGAUAAUGAAGCAAAACAGGAGACGAAUAAGAGUGAAAAUUAGAUUGUGGCAAGAGAAUUUGAGCAACAAAUGAAGCCUAAUAAUAAACCAUCUAGUGUUGCUUCUGAAAUUAAAUUGAAAAGUGCAUGUUUAUUUGCCACCAAAUCUGAUAUUGAUGAGCUAGAUUUCAGCAAAUCUCUUUGCUAUGCUUUUGUGUGCAAAGAGGCAUUAUUUUCAUUCGAGGACGUGCCUUCCUCUUUGCCUCCUGCUGUCACUAACAUUUUGCAGGAGUUCGCUGACGUCUUUCCACAAGACGUGCCACCGGGAUUACCGCCUAUUCGAGGGAUUGAGCAUCAGAUUGACUUAAUUCCCGGUGCUUCACUGCCAAACCGUGCACCAUACCGUACCAAUCCAAAGGAGACGAAGGAGAUUAUGCGUCAAGUACAAGAGCUUCUCGACAAAGGUUAUAUACGCGAAUCCCUUAGUCCUUGUGCUGUUCCUAUUAUUCUAGUGCCGAAAAAGGAUGGUACAUCACGUAUGUGUGUUGAUUGUAGAGGUAUUAAUAAUAUUACUAUUCGUUAUCGUCAUCCUAUUCCUAGGCUAGAUGAUAUGCUUGAUGAAUUGAGUGGCUCUACAAUAUUCUCCAAAGUUGAUUUGCGUAGUGGAUACCAUCAAAUUCGUAUGAAAUUGGGAGAUGAAUGGAAAACAGCAUUCAAAACUAAGUUUGGAUUAUAUGAGUGGUUAGUCAUGCCUUUUGGGUUAACUAAUGCACCUAGUACUUUCAUGAGAUUAAUGAACGAAGUUUUACGUGCUUUCAUUGGACGAUUUGUGGUAGUUUACUUUGAUGACAUAUUGAUUUAUAGCAGAUCUUUGGAAGAACAUUUAGAACAUUUACGUGCUGUUUUUAUUGCUCUACGUGAUGCACGUUUGUUUGGUAACCUUGGGAAGUGCACCUUUUGCACCGACCGAGUAUCUUUUCUUGGCUAUGUUGUUACUUCACAGGGUUAUUGAAGUUGAUAAAGCCAAGAUUGAAGCUAUUGAGAGUUGGCCGCAACCCAAAACGGUCACACAAGUGAGGAGUUUUCUUGGUCUCGCUGGGUUCUAUAGGCGUUUUGUGAGAGAUUUCAGCACCAUUGUUGCACCUCUCAAUGAGCUUACAAAGAAAGAUGUGCCUUUUCUUUGGGGUACCGCACAGGAAGAAGCCUUCUCGGUAUUGAAAGAUAAGUUGACACAUGCUCCUUUACUCCAACUUCCUGAUUUUAAUAAGACUUUUGAGCUUGAAUGUGAUGCUAGUGGAAUUGGAUUAGGCGGUGUGUUAUUACAAGAUGGCAAACCUGUUGCAUACUUUUCUGAAAAAUUGAGUGGGCCUAGUCUGAAUUAUUCUACUUAUGAUAAAGAAUUAUAUGCUCUUGUUCGGACUUUAGAAACAUGGCAACAUUAUUUAUGGCCCAAAGAAUUUGUUAUACAUUCUGAUCAUGAAUCUUUGAAACAUAUUAAAAGUCAAACUAAACUGAAUCAUAGACAUGCUAAAUGGGUUGAAUUCAUUGAGACUUUUCCUUAUGUCAUUAAACACAAGAAGGGAAAAGAAAAUGUUAUUGCUGAUGCAUUGUCUCGCCGCUAUACUAUGCUUUCACAACUUGACUUCAAAAUAUUUGGUUUGGAGACCAUCAAAGAUCAAUAUGUGCAUGAUGCUGAUUUUAAAGAUGUAAUGCAGAAUUGUAAAGAAGGAAGAAUGUGGAAUAAGUUCGUCGUUAAUGAUGGAUUUGUGUUUCGUGCUAACAAGCUAUGCAUUCCAGCUAGCUCCGUUCGUCUUUUGUUGUUGCAGGAGGCGCAUGGAGGAGGAUUAAUUGGACACUUUGGCGUGAAGAAGACGGAGGACGUACUUGCUACACAUUUCUUUUGGCCAAAGAUGAGACGGGAUAUUGAGCGUUUUAUUGCUCGAUGCACUACAUGUCAAAAAGCUAAGUCACGACUCAAUCCUCAUGGUUUAUAUAUGCAUUUGCCUGUACCUAGUGUUCCUUGGGAGGAUAUAUCUAUGGACUUUGUUUUAGGUUUACCUCGAACAAAGAAGGGGAGGGAUGGCAUAUUUGUUGUCGUGGAUAGAUUCUCGAAAAUGGCACACUUUAUACCAUGUCAUAAAAGCGAUGAUGCUGUUAAUGUUGCUGAUUUGGUCUUUCGUGAAAUUAUUCGCUUGCAUGGUGUGCCAAAUACUAUUGUUUCAGAUCGUGAUACUAAAUUUCUUAGCCAUUUUUGGAGAUGUUUAUGGGCUAAGUUGGGGACUAAACUGCUUUUUAGUACUACUUGUCACCCCCAAACUGAUGGACAAACUGAAGUAGUCAAUAGAACGUUGUCUACUAUGCUUAGGGCUGUUUUGAAGAAUAAUAAGAAAAUGUGGGAGGAAUGCUUGCCUCAUAUUGAAUUUGCUUAUAAUCGUUCAUUGCAUUCUACUACUAAGAUGUGCCCUUUUGAAGUUGUGUAUGGUUUCCUACCUCGUGCACCUAUUGAUUUGUUGCCUCUUCCAUCUUCGGAGAAGGUUAAUUUUGAUGCUAAACAACGUGCUGAAUUGAUUUUAAAAAUGCAUGAGUUAACUAAGGAAAACAUUGAGCGUAUGAAUGCUAAAUAUAAACUUGCUGGAGAUAAGGGUAGAAAACAUGUUGUGUUUGCACCUGGAGAUCUUGUUUGGUUACAUUUGCGUAAGGAUAGAUUUCUUGAUUUGCGCAAAUCAAAGUUAAUGCCAUGUGCUGAUGGUCCCUUUAAGGUGUUAGAGAAAAUAAAUGAUAAUGCAUAUAAACUUGAGCUGCCUGCAGAUUUUGGGGUUAGUCCCACUUUUAACAUUGCAGAUUUGAAGCCUUAUUUGGGUGAGGAAGAUGAACUUCCGUCGAGGACGACUUCAUUUCAAGAAGGGGAGGAUGAUGAGGACAUCAAUACAAUUGUUACACCCACAACCCCUGCUGCUAUACAUACUGGACCAAUUACUAGAGCUCGUGCACGCCAACUAAAUUACCAGGUACUUUCGUUUCUUGGUAAUGAUUUUAAUGUUCAUGAGAAUAUGAUGCUGCCUAAAUUGGAUACAUUUGUUUUGCUUACAAAUGAAGGGCCUAGCUUGGAGAAGGAUGAACAUUGGAGCAAGAACAAGCAUGAAGAUGAUGGCAUGCGCAAGGGGAACAAGAACGGAGUUACAAGUGAUGAUUUCAGGACUUUGAAGCCACCAUAAUGGGUGCAUGAAGCCUUGGACGAAAUAUACAAGAUGCCACUUCAUAAAUUUCGUCCCGAGGCUAUUUUAGGUGCUGCGUCACCUUAUUAUUGGGCCAGGCCCAUGUAAUUUCGAAAUACAUAAGUAUAGGCUAUUUUUAGAGUCCGUAUGUGUGGGGAAACAAGAGAUAGGGUUGAUUUCGGACCCCUCCACCAAGGGCCACGAAAUUCCCCCCCUCUUCCUCCAUAUAUACAGCCCUUAGGGCAUCGUUUAGACUUUGGGUUUUGUUUAGAUUAAAAGUUCGCCAUAGCUGCAACUUCACGUACUUCGUUUGUGUUCAACGACCAGACAAAGGCGUCACAGAACCCCACCUUGAUCAAUAAAGC
rnacentral:lncRNA from 1 species